rnacentral:lncRNA from 1 species
AGACAGAAAAUGACAUAAAUCUUAAACAACGAGACUAAACACUAGAUAAGAUCAGAUUUGUAUUGCCCUCACGUAUGGUAAAAUAAUAAAAAUUAAUGUUGUAACGGGGAGACAAUUUGUUCUUCAUUUUUGCAGUACUGAGUUAAACAAAGGAAACCUGUGGUAACUUGCUUCCAUCAAGACUCUAGCUUCUUAUUUGGCUCUUCAAACUUAUCUGUUGAAGUCCGAUGUUCAACCAUGCCUCCAGCAGCUCUCGCGGUGUAGAAAUACACGAUAAAAUGAAAUGAUGUCCUGCCACCAGCUAGCAGCCACGAGAUUGUUGGUCUUAGGAGCAAGACUGCUAACUAUAUCCUAAAUGCUGAGGCAUAUCACUGGAGAUAACUCAAUGCCAGAAAAGAGCAAGUCCAAUGAAGUUUUUGUUACAACAAUGCUGUGGCAGUUGUAUACUUAUUGAAGUUCCUAAAGAUCGGAUAUUAAUCAGAUCCAAAAGGAGAAGGAGGAGACAAGAUAAAUUUGCUGAUUAUGUAAUCGUUCAAAAAAUAUUAAAUUGAAACAUGAAACAUACAUAUAUUCAUGACAUGCCUGCAGUUUUGGAAGAUCCACCUAAGAAAAUGAUCAGAUCGAGUUCCUCAAAGCAGGGCUGAAACUCCUGGUUCUGCUAAGAACAUUCACAUAACAAUAUUAAAAACUGGAUUUCAUCAAAAUAUUUUAUGUCAAAUUAAAAAAAAGGAAGAUAUUGAUUUAUAUGUUUCCAAUGCCAGACCAAAUAAACAUUUUCCCCCUGAAAGAAAGUUCAGUUGAUCAAACACCACAAAAACUUUCAUUUAACUUGAUGAUCAGAUCGAAGAUUUGAUGGUCUUCCCACCAUUACAAAAAAUUGUCGCCAUUUACAGGCUACAAAAAGCUGCAAUAGGAAGCAUUUCGUUAAUUCACAGUUAAUAAUAAAAACAGCAAAUAGUUAUUUAAAUUAGUAUCUCUAUCAGUUAAUCAAUAUAUAACUACUAUCUUUACGAAGUAAGUCAAUCACAUACGAUUAAAAGUCAUUUCACUUCUCUUGUCCAUGUCAUUACUUACUAAUAUUACAACAUAGCGGCAACUACGAGUGCAUAAUAUUUAUACUUACUUUAGUGAUGCAAUAGGCUUUCCCGAAAUUUAAGUUUAGUUAGCCUAUUUUUCAGCAACAGCUUUAGCUUUUUGCCCCCUGUUGAGCGCUAAUUUUUUGUUUUAGUUUGAACCAUAGAACAGAGAAGAUUGAAAUUGAGUCUUCACUCUCCAAAACGAAUGCAGCUAUCUAGCCACAGCAGAGCAAACGUUAAACACUUAGAUUUGAUAAAUUUAAUUUCUAACAUAGCAACGUUAGAAAUUUAGAUUUGAUCAAUUUAAGCUGCUUGGCAAACAAGAAAAUGAAGGAAAACAGAGGAAACUGAAACAGAGCAUCUUAGAACUUCCAUUGAUUUCGAGUGAAAAAAAACUAUAAUAAUUACAAUAAUUAAUGCUAAUCCGCACAGUCUAGAAAUAUCUUACUAACUGCUUUUUAAAAGCUAACACAAAUCAUAACAAAUUUUAUGCUUAGAACACAAUAUCCGAACAAAAUAUCCUUAAUUAACUCAAAAAGCACAUAGAAACUCAUAGGAGUAAAACUAAUAAAGCAUAACAAACCUCAUCGUUUUUUGAGGUUUCUCUUGUAUGAGAAUCUAGCAGAGAGUUUCAUGUAGUGUUUUUGUGAGGUACGAAGUAGGUGUCCCGAGCAACAUCAAUCAUUUUCGAGAUUAGAAGUGGGAAUAGUUUGGUUAAAAGUCUGUCCAAAAUCAAUAAGUUUUUUUUUUUUCCUUAUUAUAACCUAAUUAUGUGAGAAAUGUUAGGGACAAAUUAAAAUAAAAGCAAAACAUAAUACCUGCAGUUUCAAAAUUUAUACUCAUGAUAUUGCACGAAUGAUGGACAAGGGAGAACGUAAUUGGGUGAUUACAACUUUGGUUUGAGAGAGAGUGUCUAUUUUAAAACGUUGAUGACAGGGCAGCCAAAUAUAGACAUUGCAUCUCUAUUUGCAUCAAAGCCUUUAUCAACAUGAGAAUGGAAGAAUUAGUACAUAGUUUUUGUCCAAUUUCAUGGGUUUCCGCAGGAAGUUUUGAAAUGUAUGUAUUGGUUGGAGUCUGCACUCUGCACAAUUAAAACUGUGAUGUAACAUUGAUGAAAUUACCUAUAAGACAAAUUAAAUGGCUUUAAUCAUACUUCAGGAGACGCUCAGUGAAAGUCAAGAGAUCACUUUCUUUAAAGGUGCAAUUACAAAAGAGCUGAAGGGAUCAUCACGGCAAUGGCUUUGUCCUGAAAACUACUUGGUCAAACACCUGGGGGCUUUCAACAAAAUGAUAAAGCAACAACUCAUGAAAAAUUCCAU